UACGAAGGGGGCUAGCGUUGUUCGGAAUCACUGGGCGUAAAGGGCGCGUAGGCGGCCGAUCAAGUCGGGGGUGAAAGCCUGUGGCUUAACCACAGAAUGGCCUUCGAUACUGUUUGGCUUGAGACCGGAAGAGGUUAGUGGAACUGCGAGUGUAGAGGUGAAAUUCGUAGAUAUUCGCAAGAACACCAGUGGCGAAGGCGGCUGACUGGUCCGGUUCUGACGCUGAGGCGCGAGAGCGUGGGGAGCAAACAGG
rnacentral:rRNA from 1 species